GGAAUCUGAAACCAAGAACAAAUUUGUUGUGAAAUACUAGAGACCUGCCUAUUAAGAAUAAGAUUAGGGAGUCCGCUAACCAUUCUUAUAUAAUACACUAGAGUAUUUAAGGAAACAUAACUUUGGGAAAGGAGAAAAAAAUCAUUUGCAGAUGAUGUAAUUACCUGGAUAACUGUAGGAUUCUUAGAAAACUUCAGCAAGAUGCCCAAUUAUAAAAUAAACAUAUAAAAAGCAAAGCUUUGAAAUACUCCAGGAAUAACUAAUUAGAACAUUAAUAUUUCACUUACAAUAUUAAUAGUAAACAAUAGUAGUUUAUAUAAUAAACUUUUAUGAAAUAGGAAUCAAACAAAACAAAUAUUCAAAACCUAAAUGAGGGGCUGUCAAAACUUUGGUGAGGGUGGAACUUAGGUCAAGAUGGCAGAGUAAGAAGAUCCUUAGCUCACCUUCCAUGGACACACCAAAACUACACCUACAUAGAGAACAACUGUUUCUGAGAACAACCUGAAGACCAGCGGAACAGAUUUUCCACAACUAAGAGCAUAAAACACCAGAUCAGAAAGGAUAUCACAACCAUGGAGGUUCUCCUGGAUGAGUGAGGGGCCCGAGCCCCACAUUGGACUCCCCAGCCUGGGAGACCUGCACUGGAAAGAUGAGCCCCCAUAAUGUCUGACCUUGAAAACCAGUGAGGCUUACGUCCAGGAGAGCCAGGGGGCUACAGGAAACCAAGACUAUGCUCAUAAAGGAUGGUGUUCCAUUUCCCAUUCUGGUUUUUCUGGAUAUUCAUCCUGAGAAGCAGAUGCUUUCUCUGGACUCUGUAUAUACCCCCAAACAUGUUAGAUCCCUGCCCUGAGGCGUACGUGGAGCCCAUGAAGGUGCUGAUCUAAGUCAGUGGCCUCAAAAUGUGGGGUACGCUCAUCCCAAGAGUUACAAAAGCAGACCUUCUAGGAUGCAGAAAGAGAAAGGUAUGCCCUUAAUUUGCUUUAUGUUUUAUUGUGUUAACAAGAUCUUCCAGAACAAUAUUAAGCAAUAGUGAUAGAGGGCAUCUUCAAUUUGUUCCUGAAUUUAAAAGAAAUGCUUCUAUUUUACAAGGAGGAAACGAAAUGUUCUGUUUUUCAGAAGUUGAUGUCCCCGUUUUUGCAGAUGUUGCCAUCUUACAGUGAAACUGACACAAUUGCAGAAAGACCCCUGCAAAUUGCUCCCUGAGUGUCCAAAAGUUACCGUGGACCUGCUAUGUAGUGACGUGUUCCUUGAACUCGUUAUGUAAUGGCAUGUUGCCUUGACCUUGUGAUGUAAUAGCCUGCACAUACCCCUGAUUGAGCAGUUG
rnacentral:lncRNA from 1 species